UACGUAGGGUGCAAGCGUUGUCCGGAAUUACUGGGCGUAAAGAGCUCGUAGGUGGUUUGUCGCGUUGUUCGUGAAAACUCACAGCUUAACUGUGGGCGUGCGGGCGAUACGGGCAGGCUAGAGUUCGGUAGGGGAGACUGGAAUUCCUGGUGUAGCGGUGGAAAUGACGCAGAUAUCAGGAGGAACACCGGUGGCGAAGGCGGGUCUCUGGGCCGAUACUGACGCUGAGGAGCGAAAGCGUGGGGAGCAAACAGG
rnacentral:rRNA from 1 species